rnacentral:rRNA from 1 species
AGUGAACGCUGGCGGUAGGCCUAACACAUGCAAGUCGAACGGCAGCACAGUAAGAGCUUGCUCUUACGGGUGGCGAGUGGCGGACGGGUGGGGAAUACAUCGGAAUCUACUUUUUCGUGGGGGAUAACGUAGGGAAACUUACGCUAAUACCGCAUACGACCUACGGGUGAAAGCAGGGGAUCUUCGGACCUUGCGCGAUUGAAUGAGCCGAUGUCGGAUUAGCUAGUUGGCGGGGUAAAGGCCCACCAAGGCGACGAUCCGUAGCUGGUCUGAGAGGAUGAUCAGCCACACUGGAACUGAGACACGGUCCAGACUCCUACGGGAGGCAGCAGUGGGGAAUAUUGGACAAUGGGCGCAAGCCUGAUCCAGCCACACCGCGUGGGUGAAGAAGGCCUUCGGGUUGUAAAGCCCUUUUGUUGGGAAAGAAAAGCAGCAGGUUAAUACCCCGCUGUUCUGACGGUACCCAAAGAAUAAGCACCGGCUAACUUCGUG